UGCUCACGAGGGCCGGUCGCCUUGUACAAGAAGAAUGGACAGUCUGAUUCAAUAUACAAAUGAGUGCCUAUUUGUUGAGUGGACCAUUCUGAUUUUUUGCAUCAGGUCAUCUUCGUGGUGGAUCCCACCGUUUACAGCUAGAUGUAUUACACUUGACACAUUGGCAAAUGAGCUUUGUUGCCUUUGAAGCUCACAUGCAACCAAUUGUAUGCAAUCAUACUGGUGUUGUCAACCCCAAGUUGUUUCUAGCAGCAAUGAGUAAAUCGACUGUAUUAUCAUACCAGAUUUGCAGCUUUGCCUCAAUUUCUGUGAUGCGUGGUCAAAUUUAGCUAGUGCAUAUACGAGGAAAGGAAGACUUAAUGAGGCAGCCUAGUGCUGUCGCCAGGCUCUUGCAUUGAACCCUCGCUUGGUAAAAUCCUUGUUUUGUUUUAUCAUUUAGUUUUCUUCUUUUAUUGUAGAUGCAUUGAAAUUACUAUUUGCAUAUCUUCCCCUUAUUGGCAGGUUGAUGCUCAUAGCAACCUUGGUAAUCUGAUGAAGGCACAAGGCUUAGUACAAGAAGUAAGUCAUAGUGGAUUCGAUACAUUAUUUUCAUUGGAUGUUCUUUAAGACUCGAAGUAGAAUUCGAGAACCAUGAUCCAUGAUUGGACUG